UACACACGUGAGAAAGUUUGUGUCCGCCAUCUUUCAACUUAUACACCCUCCUACUCAGAGAUAAUUGUCAAAGGAGAGAUGGAUGAUAAGGGAAUCUCCAGAAGACAGUUCAGCAGCAACAAGGAGACUUUUGGGAAUUCCGAAGUCAGUCAAAACAUCUCUAAUCCACCAAAGGCUAAAAUUCGUGACCUCCUGCGUGACCCCAAAGGUUGACUGAGUGCCUGUCAAGCCACGUGUCAAGGUAAUGGGUAGCUUCCAAUCCCAUCAGCAAAGAAGUUGUGUGACCCUCUUCCAAGAUUUAGAAGGAAGGAAGGAGGGAAGGAGUAGAGAUGCACAAAGGAGAAGAAAUUGGUAGGGAG